AUCUGUUCAACUGAUGGAAUGUAUGAGAAUGUGCACAAGCAGGCUUCACCGCAGAAUAACACUUAUUUAUUAAAUUAAUCAUUAUUUGUUUCAUUAGCUUUUAUAUGCUUUUAUAGUGUUUUUUAAUUGAUUUUAGGCCGUAUUUUUUCUUUUAAUCUAUAUUUUUUAUUGUAGAUAGCAUACGCCACAUAGAUAUUUUAAAAAUAUCAGGUGGUUUAGAAGUGCUUUGAAAUGAAUAAACAAGCUAAAUAAAGUAGAAUAUAGUUUAAUUGUGACUCCAUAUAUAGGAGCAGCCUACCAUUGAACCCCUGGAUGCUGAGGAAAAACAGUCGCCUAUUGUGAGGUACUAGGCAGGAAUGUGGCUGUUUGCUGCUGGAAACAGAACUCUGGGCUGAUGGUGAUAUUCCCAUCAAUCAAGACAUAUUCAUUUCUAUGUUCCUUUUCUGCAAAUAACGUACCCAGAGUAGGGGGCAUAGCUAAAGACAAAGACGUGAAUGUUCCAUAACAACACACCAAGUUUAUUACACAAUAAAUAAUAAAAAGUAACAAAAUCACAAAUCCGCAAUUGGCCACGAAGCUCACUGGGUGACAUUGAGACAGCUGCUCUUUCUCAGCCUAACCUACCUCAAAGGGUUGUUGUGGCGAUUGAAUGAGGAAGAGAGAACCAAGCACACCACCUUCACCUCCUUGGAGAAAAAGCCUGGGAUAUAAAUGCAAUAAAUGACUAAUGAUAAAUAAAUUGAAAAUUGAAAAUAAUUAAACUAACAGAAUCUCCAUGCACAUCCUGUACAGUUCAUUGAGGGUGCUGGGGAUUCGUAGCUGUGUGAAGGCAGAACUACAGUUCCCAACAUUCUUUGAGGGAAUCUGUGUGCUCUAAACGUAUGGGCUGCAUGUGAAGGAGAGUCAAGGGCUAACAUCAGUUCCUUACAACUGCCGUUCCCCAUGCUGGGCCUAUGAAAGUGUUUCCGGAUAGCUGGUGAAACCCCUGCAAAGUACAGUGGUACUUCGGGUUACAUACGCUUCAGGUUACAGACUCCGCGAACCCAGAAAUAGUACCUUGGGUUAAGAACUUUGCUUCAGGAUGAGAACAGAAAUCAUGCGGCAGCAGUGGGAGGCCCCAUUGGCUAAAGUGGUACCUCAGGUUAAGAACAGUUUCAGGUUAAGAACGGAUCUCCAGAACGAAUUAAAUUCUUAACCCGAGGUACCACUGUAGUUCAGGCGUUGAAGAGGAAAAUGUUGCAGCACAUGGCUUUGCCCACUAGAGGUCUCUAAGACAACAGAAAACACCUAGCACAUCACCGCUCCCAAACCAGCGAAUAUUUGCCUCAUUAAUGCCCUUCAGCUUUAUUUGACAGUCAGUAGGAAGAAGACUAGCCUUGUCUACUGUCACAUUCAUUCACAGAACGUAUUGCCUGAUUUGCCAGAGGUAUGAUGCGAAGAGAGUCUGAAUUUGUACGAUUACAAAUUCAGCUUCGUUGCAGAAUCCCAGAAGGAACAGCGCCCACAGAAGCAAAACACCCAGCACUUCAGCUGUGCUGUGAAAAAGAACUGCGAUUUAAUUCAAUUCCAACACAUAGCUCAUUUUUCUAUGGAGGGUUGUAACAACAGCAAAUCAGAACAUCCAAAUUUUAAAGUCAGCCUUAUUUUUUAAUUAUUUAAGAGCCGAACUAUGCAUUAUGACAGAAACCUGUGCAGUUUACCUCGAGGUGUUUCUUCAGAUAGGUCUUUAUUGUGGGAUUAGCGCUUCUCAGGCACUGAAGAUUUUUCUUGUGGCAUUACAACAACAGUUUGGCAUCAAAAUGCCAGCCCAUAAUUACACUCCCCUAACCCUUUCCAGGGAAAGUCCAAUCAGUUUAGCAACCACCACCACCUGUUACCAAUGACUCAUUUUGCAAACUAGGAACUCAGUUACAUUCAUAAAGAUAAAGUGCUUUACAUGUGUUAUAACACUUUGACACCAGAUGGCGCUGUGGGGUCCUGUCUUUUGCCAAUGGGUUUUCCAUGUAUGAAGUUUACAACGUGUUUAACUGAAUUGCUUCUUUGAUGUGUCUAGAUCAGGGGUCAGCAAACUUUUUCAGCAGGGGGCCAGUCCACUGACCCUCAGACCCUGUGGGGGACUGGGCUAUAUUUUGAAAAAUAUAUAUAUUAAAUUCCUAUGCCCCACAAAUAACCCAGAAAUGUAUUUUAAAUAAAAGCACACAUUCUACUCACAUAAAAACACGCUGAUUCCCGGACCAUCUGUGGGCCAGAUUCAGCCCCCGGGCCUUAGUUUGCCUACCCAUGGGCUAGAUCAGGGGUCAGCAAGGCUUACCGGGCAUGGGCCAGAUCACUCCCGCAGAGAUCCUCCGUGGGCUGGACCGGCGCAGUGUGAUUUCUGGCGUCUGGGCAUGUGCAGAAACGAUUUCCAGUGCUGUGCAAGGGAGUCUCCAUGCUGUGCUGAGCCGGUUUAGCGCAGCACGCGGGGACUCACCAAAUAGGUGGCUCGGUUUGGGGGCGGCUCGUGGGCCGGUUAAAUGGCCUCUGUGGGCUGCUUCUGGCCCAUGAGCCACAGGUUGGGGACCCCUGGUCUAGAUCCAGCCUAGGCGGCCGUCUGGAAGUACUUCUUCCUCUGAAGAUUUGCAAAUAGAAGCCAAUAUUUAGAGCAGGGUUGGAGUGGGGAGGGGGUUGGGGUAGGUCUCUGCUGUGGAUUUAUGUGGUGCAUAAAUUAAUUAAUGGUUAUCACUUUCAUUUUGUGUGUUGUGCAUUUUUUAAAAAAAGGAUACAUUCAGAUGACAUUUUAUUUCGACGCUCCAAUGUUGAUGUCUGCAUCUUGUAUUGUGGUAGUGGCCCAAAGGGCCAUAAUGAAUGUGAUGAUGUGAAUCCCUAUAAAUCCUUGAAUAUGCUUCUAAUAGAGAAGUUAUAGUAACCUGCUGCUUUAAGAAACUGAUGAUUUUGCAAGAUGCCGCCCCCCACUGAGACAGAAGGACAGCUAAUACCUAAAUCACGAAGACAUAGCUCAUAACUUAGAACAUAAGUUCAUACAUGGUACAAAUGACUACACGUAACACAUGUUCCCAACAUGCAUAUUAACACAAUGUAACAGAUCACAGUGAGAAUCAAAGUUUAGUUAGCAAUGCUUAUUGCACAUGUGUAGUAAACAUGAAAUGAGGUAAUGAUGUACAUGAUUGGUGAAAAUUGAAAUCCUUUGUUUGAAAUGUUAUAAAUACCACCGCCCUGACCCUUGGGCGGGGUUGCAGUUUUGCGAAAAGAUUUGACUGUAAUCUAUUGCUUUGCAAUAAACAACAACAGA
rnacentral:lncRNA from 1 species